AACAAUCAGAUACAACACUACAGCCUCUGAUGCAACAAGGACUAACGACUUAGCAUUUGAGUGCUAUGUUUCUGUGAGUGGAAAUCCUUAUGAAACAACUUAUGAAACACCAAAUAAACCUAAGUUUUAUGUUGAUGUCAAUGGAGGUGAUGAAACUCCGUCAACAGACACAGCUAAAGCAGGAAGUGGCGAUGCAGGUGUUAUUGCCGGCUCAGUUGUCGGUGGUCUGGUAUUGAUUGUGAUCAUAGUUUUACUAGUAUACUUCCUCUGGUAUAGAAGACGAAAUUCCGGCGAGGAUUGUAAGUGUGAAAGCAUGUAUAUUCAGCAAUAAAGGAAGAAAAAGCUUGAUGGUUGCUGGUGAUCAAAUUUUAAUAAGUUACUUAGGCAGUAAA